rnacentral:lncRNA from 1 species
GUAUCACCACUUGCUCCGCCGCCUCCAGCUCCGCCGAUCCAUCCAUAGUAUCCAGUUGACUCCUCGCCUGCCGACUCUCCACCUCACCCUCCUCCAAGCUGGUCUUUCUUACCCGCAGCGGCGCGAAUCCUGGGAGCCGCACGUGUGGGCGAACGCGCGCGCGCGCGUCUGAGCUAUGGCGGACGAAGGAUAGACCGAGCCGAGCUGGCUGGCUCAGCUGUGUGCUGCGCCCAGACUUUUCUUUUGACAAAGAACAAUCAGCGUUGCAUUUCAUUCAUAUAGAAGGUGUUACAAAGGAAAAGUCAUGGAUGAACCCAUGGUCAUA